CAUAUAUCGUUCUAGAAAUUAGAACUAACAUUAAAUAUUGUGCGUGCAUAUUAUAAUAUUAAUAAACAUAUUUUCAAUUUAACAAUAUGGUGUAUAUAUAUAUAGGUACGACUCACUUUUUACACAUUUAGCCGUUGCAUAUGAAUAUAUACAUGUCCAUGAAGUUAGCCGUCCUACAACGUCUGCCCAAACUCAUAUUUUGAAGGGUGGAGAGAGGGCGUUAAUUGAAAUCAAAGCGCUCUACAAAAGCUGAUACGGCGGAAACGCGCUUGUCAACGAUGAAACUCGUUCGAAGAAACACUUCAGUACGUAGUUGGACUGAUGGUUGGACUGCUGGUUGGUGGAGUGGACGAACGCGGUUGACGCGCCGGAUCCGACGAUCAGAAGAGCUGCAAUCCGCUGGAACAUCAUUGCGGUGACUCG